AGCAGCCGCGGUAAUUCCAGCUCCAAUAGCGUAUAUUAAAGUUGUUGCAGUUAAAAAGCUCGUAGUUGAAUUUCGGGAUUCUACCGUUGGUCGGGCUAUCCAGUCUGUACUAGCGUGUAGAAUUCCUACCUUCUGGGGAACCAUCAUGUUAUUAAUUCAGCGUGGUGGGAAACCAGGACCUUUACCUUGAAAAAAUUAGAGUGUUCAAAGCAGGCUUACGUCUGAAUACGUUAGCAUGGAAUAAUAGAAUAGGACGGUGGUCCUGUUUUGUUGGUUUCUGAAUCACCGUAAUGAUUAAUAGGGAUAGUUGGGGGCAUUAGUAUUCAAUUGUCAGAGGUGAAAUUCUUGGAUUUAUUGAAGACUAACUUCUGCGAAAGCAUUUGCCAAGGAUGUUUUCAUUAAUCAAGAACGAAAGUUAGGGGAUCGAAGACGAUCAGAUACCGUCGUAGUCUUAACCAUAAACUAUGCCGACUAGGGAUCGGACGAUGUUAAAUAUUAUUGACUCG
rnacentral:rRNA from 1 species